rnacentral:rRNA from 1 species
AAAGCGCACGUAGGCGGACUGGAAAGUCAGAGGUGAAAUCCCAGGGCUCAACCUUGGAACUGCCUUUGAAACUCCCAGUCUUGAGGUCGAGAGAGGUGAGUGGAAUUCCGAGUGUAGAGGUGAAAUUCGUAGAUAUUCAGAGGAACACCAGUGGCGAAGGCGGCUCACUGGCUCGAUACUGACGCUGAGGUGCGAAAGCGUGGGGAGCAAACAGGAUUAGAUAACCUUGU